AAACAUCCGCUGGAAGCAGCUACCUCCUGAAACAAGUAAUCAAGAAUAGGCCGUGUUGCCUGGUAACAGCCUAUCCUGGAUUACUUGAACCAGGCCGAAGCCUUCAUAGAACGGUCUUCCUCCUCUUCUUUACAGCACCAAAACGGGAGGUGGUCUCCUUGGCUCAUAAAAUGAGAUUGCCCCCUCCCUCUGCUGCCCCACUUCCAGAACAGAUGCCAAUGAGAACCCAGAACUGUUGACAAGCCUCCUGCAGAGACAUCAAAAUCAGCUCCCGAAGAUUCCACAACCAUCUGGAGCAGAAUCUGAAGGUUGACCAGCAGCAACAGAGAAUAAGGCUUCUGUGACUCUUCAACCAUUGCACAGAAGAAAGGGAUUUGAGAAUUAUUUGCUCUUCCAUACAACCAUUAAACGUAC